GGCCCAGCCGGGGAGAAGGGAGGGUGGGGUUGAAGCCAGAAAGGAGAGAGAAAGGAUGAAGCAUGAAAUGAAAUGAGCAGUAUGAGAGGAGGAGCGAGGUGUGGGUGGGGAGUGGCUGAGCCGUGGGCACGGUCUGAUCGCAUCCGCAGUGGUAACACAGCCCAUCACCGCCAUAACGCAAAGGCAGCCUUAUCCACGCGCUCCAUCAUCUGCAAAUUCCCUCAUCGAAUCUUUACCCUCACGCCAGCAUGAUUAGUAGCUCUCAUUAGUUUUACACAUAUAAUAUGAGGCUGGGUCAUUUGUUCGGUUGUCCCAGCUGGUAGGUGACAGAACCAGCCUGUUAUCUGAUCCCAGAGCCCCAUCACUGGAUGGAGCUAGUUCUCUUCUGUGACCAGCCCUCAGCCAGUAGGAUUUCCAGGUAAGCCUGCAUUAGCCUUUCAGUGUGGCUUUGCCCUGUACACACACACACACACACACACACACACACACACACACACACACACACACACACACAGUGCCUUUGAGGUCAAGGGCAACUCAGGUUUUUGGUCUAUUGGGAUCCUGCAUCUUUAUCUUAGAACAGCUCUGCCUGGAACAAGAGUCCAAUGGAUGAAAGGCAGAGUAAACUCAGGUCUUCACACAGUCUGAUGUCUCUCCCAAGCCCUGGUAUGGGUGCUCAGGUAAUCUCUACUGCUGAGCAGAAAGUCUUAGGGGUGAGUUACUGUUUUAAUUAAGACAUGGCCUUUCUGUGCUGGGGAUGUCGCUUAUCUAGUAGAGCGUUUGCCUAGUAUUCAUGAAAGCCUUGGGUUUGAUCUUCAGAAGAUCAUGAAUGGGGCACUGUAAUACACACCCGAGAUCUCAGCUUUAAGGAGGUAGAGGCAGGAAGGUCAAAGUUCAAGUCCAUUCUUAGCUACACAGGAGUUCACUGCCAGCCUGAGCUACAUGAGACCUUAUCCUUUAAAGAAUAUUUUAAUGCAUUUUUAUUUUUUAACAGAUAUGACUUUUUUGCCCCUGUGUGCAUAUGUCUGUGCAAUACAUAUGCCUGGUGCCCUUGGAGGCCUCAAGAAGGUAUAGCAUCCCUUGGACUUAGAGGACAGUUAUGAGCUGUCAUGUGGGUGCUGGGAAUCAAAUUUGAGUCCUUAGCCAGGGUGGGUGUGGCUGUUCACACCUUUAAUCCUAGGCAGAGGCAGGCAGAUCUCUGAUUUUGAGGCCAGUCUGGUCUACAGAGUGAGUUCCAGGACAGCCAGGGCUACACAGAGAAACCCUGUCUCAAACAAGCAAACCAGUCCUCUGAAGGGCCACAAGUCCCCCUAAUGGCUGAACCACCUCUCCAGCCCCCAUAACAAAACAAACAGCAGAGAGCAGGGGUGUUUAUGUGUUGACCUGGUCUCCUGGGCUCAAGCAAUCUUUCUCCCUGGUAGCUGGAACUACAGGCAGAAGCCAUUAUGUCUGGCUCAUGGUAUGAAUUAUUAACUGUCAGACAUGACUGCCAUGGCACCAAUCAUACCAAUAGAUAUAAAGAUGCCAUAUAUAUAUAUAUAUAUAUAUAUAUAUAUAUAUAUAUAUUUUUUUUUUUUUUUUUUUUUUUUGACAGGUUUCUCUGUGUAACAGAGCCCUAGCUGUCCUGGACUUGCUUUGUAAACCAGGCUGACCUUGAACUCACAGAGCCCUGUCUACCUCUGUCUCCUAGUGCAGGAAUCAAAGGCAUGUGUCACCAUGCCCGGUGGAUGUCCUCUAUCUUAUUCUAUUAAAAAUAAAGCAGGUUAGGGCUGGAGUGAUGGCUCAGAUAGCUCAGUGGUUAGGAACACUGGUUGCUCUUGCAGAGGACCUGCAUUUAGUUCCUAGCACCUGCAUGGAAGCUCUCAAUCAUCAGAAACUCCAGUUCUAGGGUAUCUUGACACCAUCUUCUAUGGACAUUAGGCCUACACAAAAUGCAGGCAAAAGACUCACAGAUAAAAUACAAUAAGUGGCCGGGCGUGGUGGUGCACGCCUUUAAUCCCAGCAUUAGGGAGGCAGAGGCAGGAGGAUUUCUGAGUUCGAGGCCAGCCUGGUCUACAAAGUGAGUUCCAGGACAGCCAGGGCUAUACAGAGAAACUCUGUCUCGAAAAACCAAAAAAACAAAACAAAACAAAACAAAACAAAACAAAACCAAUAAAUGCAGCAAGGCAGGGGCUGACUGGUCAGGUGAUGCCAGCGGCAAGUGCUUGCUGCACACACAAGAGCACCCGUGCCUUCCCUAGGGUCCCUGUGAAGGACCUGGAGUGUCGGUUAACACUUGGAAUUUCAGUGCUUGCACCUGGACACAGGGGGACCCCUUGGGCUUGCUGGCUUAAUUUAGUCGGCGGGCUCCAAGUCCCUCAGAGA
rnacentral:lncRNA from 1 species